rnacentral:misc_RNA from 1 species
GAUGAAGAACGUAGCGAAAUGCGAUAAGUAAUGCGAAUUGCAGAAUCCGUGAGUCAUCGAAUCUUUGAACGCACAUUGCGCCCGCCAGCACUCUGGCGGGCAUGCCUGUUCGAGCGUCAUUUCAACCAUCAAGCCCCCAGGGGCUUGUGCUGGGGCCCUGCGGCUGCCCGCAGGCCCUGAAAACCAGUGGCGGGCUCGCUAGUCACACCGAGCGCAGUAGCACAUCUCGCUCAGGGCGUGCGGCGGGCUCCUGCCGUGAAACCCCCCACUGUAACCCCAAAGGUUGACCUCGGAUCAGGUAGGAAUACCCGCUGAACUUAAGCAUAUCAAUAAGCGGAGGA